CUCGCCUCCAUCGAGACCUCCAUCACACCCGGCCGUUCAGUUCGUCUUUGGUUGGCAGCAGGGAAUUCCUGAGAACUUCGAUCGGUGGGAAGACCUUGACCACCGACCGAAACUCACGGCAUUUUGGGAGCUGUCCUGUACCUCGUAGUAAACCUUCUGUGAUGUACUUUUACAAGGGGUAAUCUCGAUUCUUCAUACUGUUUUUCUACGUAUUUCCCCCAAUAAAAUAUUUUUGUUGGUUA